NNNAAUGCCGCUAGUCUCAACGAAAGAAAAUAAUGCGCCUACUCUAUCAAAUUAACAGCCAAAAAUAUGCAGCAGCUUUCAUUCUGAGCAAAAUUAAAUUUUCUGGGCCACUCUUAAGGUAGGCCGCAAGUGUGUGUAAACAGGGUCUCCACGCGUAGUUUAUCUGCCCUACGAGCGAAUACCUGCGGCUUACUUUCCUACUGCAGCUCCCAAAUAACAGACCUCACCGGAGGCCCCAGCCCUCCACACCUCACCACGGAGAUUCGCUCUCUUUCCUUCCAAACCACAAAUGGACGAGCUUAUUCGGAGAAAAAGUUCCUGAAUGUCUGCUUUUGAGGUAUCUGCCCUACCUGAGACCACAAAAUCGGAGGACUCCGAAGUGCCUUGGAAGCACCUCCGCUCUGCUCCCUCGUCCCGGCUGAUGGGAUGCUUCAGGAAAGUGUGUGAUGGAAUUGGUCCUGGUGAAGCUCUGGAACUGGGUGACACACUAAACAGAAGAGGAUAUGACUUGGCAAUUUAGUUUUAAUGACUGCAUUGACAGGCAAAGGUGAAAAUACUGUGUGUGUUCAUCCCUUUGGAGCGUGGUUAUAUGGCAGUGGAUUUAGUGAGCAUAAUAAACUUGGGUACCAUGGCCCAUUUCCCUAGAAGUACAUUUGUGACAUUUGACAACUGAUGUUACUUUUCCUUAAACCUACACGGUUUCUUUCCCUCACUCUUUAGUCUUUAUCUGAGACCUAAUGAUUGUGUUCUUUGCAUUUUGGCAAUAAAAGCAAAAAAGAUUCUGGGUUGGUUUUGCCUCUUGUUAAGUUUUGCAAGAAAAAAAAUUGUCCUAAUAAAUUCUUUAGAAAAAUGUCUACACUGAAAAGGUGACUCAUAG
rnacentral:lncRNA from 1 species